GUUGUAUGGUUAAGUGACUAAGCGUAUGUGGUGGAUGCCUUGGCAGUUAGAGGCGAUGAAGGACGUGUUAAUCUGCGAAAAGCUGAGUUAAGGUGAUAAAAACCGUUAUAGGCUCAGAUGUCCGAAUGGGGGAACCCACC
rnacentral:rRNA from 1 species